AGAGAGAGUUAAAGAGUACGUGAAACCGUUGAAGGGGAAACGAAUGCGACCAGCAAAGCACUCGUUGCAGAUUCAGUCGCGCGUCGUCGUCGCAGCGGGCGGCCAGAUCCGAAGGACUGACGUCGGCUUGUCGGCGGCGAGGCGCGCCGCACUUCUGCCCCGUGCGAGCCAACGACGGUUCGUCGACGGCGUUCGGUCGGCGCGUCAGGUGUCUCGCGACUUUGCGGUCGGGAGCGUUAGAGGCGCGCAGGCGAGGGCGUCGAGACGGACCGAGGCGACGUAGUUUCGGUGGCGGACCGCGCUUCUCUUUCGGGAGGGGCUAGAUGCGUGGGACUCGCGUCGUGCGUCGUUUUUCGGACUGCUUGCAGUGCGCGAAGCGGUCGUGCGGGCGAGCUCGGCUGUCGUCAUAAGCGGUCCCAGGUCGUUGGCGGUGAAAUGGUCUCAUCCGACCCGUCUUG
rnacentral:rRNA from 1 species